GAAUCACAGGAGGUAAAAGACUUUGAAUUCAAAUUGUGGUUUCCAAAAACUGGCCUCGUUUCAUCAAAACUGUACUUUAAAACCUUAAAGCAUGCUGCUUCUUGGGAGAGCUGUGAUGAGCUUUUCCUGGGUGAACAAUCAUUGUAUCCUUUGGAUUUUAAAUCAGUUUCUAAAAGCCUAAUCUAAAUACCUCACACGAGCAGUGGGAGGUUUCAAAUAAGUAAAUAAAGGACAAUGCCUAGUGUUCCAGUGGUUCUGGAUAUGUUCUUGCUAUUAUUUCUCACUUGGGGAAAAAAAUAGUCUUUUUUUUCUUGAGCCCUUCAAAGUGAAGCUAGAGAACACAGGCAGCAUUUUUAAUGGAAUUCUGUCUUAUUGCUGGUGUUCCAGUUUUUAUAGAUUAAGUAAGACAAUAUCACGUAAUGUGACUCUAAUACUUCUUGGUGAUGACAACCCCCCCACCCCCACCCCAGACCUUAGGAAGGGCGGUUUUGUAGAACUGGGUAAUAGUGACAUCUAGUGUUCAGUAUUGAAAUUACAUGUAUGUUUUAGAAGCAGCUCCUAAGGAAACUGGCAUAAAUUAGUGUUUAAUUCAGUGCUGGUGAUGGACUAAGUAGGCCCAAAUUAAAAUAAGUGGAAGUAGAAUAAUAGGGGCAAUAACUGGGAAAAAUGUGAGUUAGAUGGGUGAUUUCUUCUUGAUGACACCAGAGUACUGUAAAUAACACUUGGGGGCAGUUGUGUGUGGACCUGCAAAGUAAACUACUGCUUACUUAUCGGUUUAGUUCUGAAUCAUUUGUUUCAGCUCAGCGCUCUUUGUUCCUUCCCCAACCAGGUGUGAGUGUGAAUUUACUAACCAAAUUACCUUGAGAGGAUCAUGUCCUUACCCUGAGACUCAGUCCCUUUCGAUAUAAAUUAGAGAUGCUGAGACCACCUCAUAAAAUUCUGGAAGAAUUAAAUGAGGUGGCGUUUUCUGUCUAAAGAUCUCAGGUCAGUGUGGGUUCCACCAUGACCCCUAAUGGCAGUGCUGGAGGUUCAGUAAUGUGGCAGGGGCUCAACUGCUGUAUCUUGAUGUCUAGGGGUAGUAGAUCUUGAUGUACUAAACAGGCACCAGGUGCAGUAAUCAUCUAGGACAUUGUGAUUGGAUUCAAAGAACAGAGAGCGACAGGAGCCGUGUCAUGAUAUGAACAGAUAUGGCUUGUAUGAGGCUCAUGUGAAGGGAACCAUGGGGCUGAGAAAGGUACUGUCCCACUGACUUGGGAUAGAGGGGGUGGAGGGGCUGGGGACGGGGGAUGGAAGGAAGCAUCUGGCAUCCUGGGAGGAGAGUGUUUUGCCUGUAGAGCAUUAAAAAGAUAUGACAAAAUGCAUAAGCAAUUACUUAUCUGUUACUCAUGAGCUAGGUCUCCUUUGUUAAACUUCUUGACUUUUCUGAGCCCUGUUUUCCACUCUGUAAAUUAGAGAUGAUAAUGGUAUAGAUCUGGCAAAGAUAAAAGGAUUAAAUGAGAAGACGUGUAUAUAUGUAUAUAUGGUCCUUGGCACAAAGCCCGGCAUGCUCCAUAAGCACGUGACCAUCUAAGGAGAGGAGAUGGAAGUGGGAGAAUAGAAACAGGACAAACAAAAAACUAUUCAGCCCCUGACUCUGAGUCCUCCUUGCCUUCCUACCCUGUUUCCUUUCCCUCAAAAUCCUUUCUUCCUCUGUCAACCACAUAGGUCACCUCUGGGGCACAUUCCCUGAUUCUGGGGGGCACUAUCGCUCCUUGUGCUGUGCCUCCCCCCACCCCCAAGUGCCUUGUCUCCAUGCCCUCUCUCUUCUCAGACCGUGGUGUUAUUGUUUACACAUCUGAUUGCCUUGAUCUGAGUGGCCGAGAACAGUCUGACCAACUUCAGGUAUUUCAGAAAUGUUGAUGGAAUUGAUGAACAGGGGAGGGAGAGGAGAGAAGAGGAGCAGAGGGAGAAAGCAACGAGUGCGGAAAAUUGGUCACUGAAUCUAGGGGAAGGGUGUGUGGGUGUUAGUGGAACUAUUCUUGCAAAUUUUUCUUUUAGUUUGCAACCCUUAAAAAUACAAAGUGGAGGGGGGAAAGAUGAAAGAUUUGCAGUGUUUUCAUUUUUUGCAUUCAAAACAUUUCUUUUGGGGGAGAUUGGACCCAUCUGCUGUGUGCCUCUCGCCUGACCUCGCUGGGCUGCUCUGACUGCUCAUAAGUACUGUUUUUAUCUAAAUGGCAAAGCUGUCCCCUGCCCACAAGUCUCUUUUCCUGACUUAGCUCUACUCAACUGGAGUUCCACCUGUAAUUAACGGAAAAACAGAUCCCUCUCCUUCUAGACCUGAAAAUGUCCCUUGAUGUUUCUUGGAAGCCACGGUGUACCUCAGAAUUUUCGAUGAGGGAGAGAAUGUUAAAUUUUGCCAAGAGGAAGCAUUGAAACAUCCCAUAGAAAAUGCUUGUUGGUUUCAGAAGCAAAAAAAAACCACCAUCCGGUCUCUGCUGGCCGAGUGGGUACCUGUAAAUUGUCACUUCUGGCUCCCUCUGCUGGGCAUUUGCAGAAUUGCGGCAUCCCAUACCACUUGUAAAACAUUCCUGGGCUGUACUUUUGAAAAGCAUGAAAGGUGCCUGUUUAAAAGCUAUGUCCCACCCUAUUUCCUUCCGCAGCAAGCAUUGCUUAAACUGUUAAGCUCUGUACGUUUGGCUGUGUACAGCCAAAUGCCAUUUCAAAACAAAAGCCGGCAAAUGCUCUUCAAAUGUUUCUCUUUUAUUUUUUAGAAGAAAAGGCCAGACACAAUUCCUAGAAUCAGGCUCAUUAACCACUGAGCCACGAAGAGAACUCCAGAAAAUGUGUUUUUAAUAAAAUAAUACUUCCAGGUUAUACAAUCUGAAUUAAGAUUACUAAACAGAGAACUGUUGCUUAGAGCAACACAAAUCCAUGGGCUCCACCCCCAGAGUUUCUGACUCAGUAGGUCUAGAGUGGAGGCCCAGGUAUUUGCAUCUCUAGCAAGUUUCAUGGUGAUGCUGAUGCUGCUGAUCCAGGGACUAAAAUUUGAGAACCUCUGCCUUAGGGUAAAGGAUUGAAAUAAAGAAUGUGGUCAACAUGCAAAUGGUCCUGAUGUCUGAGUUCACUCCCCAGAGCCCUCUCAGACUUAGGACGAGUCUCCCCAUGUGCUUCAUGUGAGCAUCUCCCUGACCGUGUCUCUGGCUCUGCUCCUGGCUUAAAUUCAAAGCCAGGCCAAGAAACACAGCUCCCCUUUCAGUGACCCGGAAAGAUGCUCAGCGCAACCACACUGCUGCCCUUACCGGUUACAAGUGCCGGUGCAGCCAGGCUCCAGCCCCUUACAGGCCAACACUGGGGAACUGGAAGGAUCUGUGACUCUCUCUGCUUUAGCUUCUCAUGAUUUUCUUUAUGUUUAAGGGGAAUCGACCAGAGAACUCCCCUUUGCUUUCCUCAUUCCCACUUCCUUGGCUAUUUAUUGGCUCUAUGGUCCACACAAAGGGAGAGUUAAUUACUAACACCUGCUCCCGGACUAAUAACCCACUCCUUGACAGAGAUUCUUUUCUGCCUAUUCACAUAUUUGAGCUGGUUAGCCAUACAGGAUAUGCCUCUCUGGAGAAAAUACCAUCUUGCUCCUUCCUUCAUAAAGGGUCAGAAAUUCUUUGCAGGAAAUCAAUAGCCUUAGAGAUACUAUCUGCUGUGGGCUUCCUCUUUAUUAUUAAGACAGAAACAUUUGAUGAUAUUUUCCAUGAAAUACGUGAGCAUUUGAUGAUAUUUUCCAUGAAAUACGUGAGUUUAGGUUUUCCCUUUUUUCUUUUUCUUUCUUUUUUUUUUUUUUUUUUUUUUUUUUUUUUUUUUUUUUUUUUUUUUUUUUUUUUUUUGGGGCUUUUUCUGGNNNNNNNNNNNNNNNNNNNGGAGCUGUAGCCACCAGCCUACACAACAGCCAUAGCAAUGCCAGAUCCUUAACCCACUGAGCCAGGCCAGGGAUGGAACCCACAACCUCAUGGUUCCUAGUCAGAUUCGUUAACCACUGAGCCAUGAUGGGAACUCCUGUUUUUCCUUAUUUUUUUGAUACUCACAUUUCCCCCACUCACUUAUAUUUUCCCCAUCUAGGUCACACAAAAGUUAGGUUGGAAACUUUCUGCAUUUCCCGGAGGGAAAGGCCUUCUGGAAAUUUCUCCUUCUUAUUUUCCCCUUUGUGGUAUCUAAAAUGUGUCAUUAGAAGGCCUCUCCUCCCAUCAUAUGCAGGCGAGAGUUUCCUAUCAGCCCCUCUUUUGAAUUCAUUCCCUAAUGCAGUGCACACUGAAGGAGGCUAUGUGUGGAGCCUUGAAAAUGCAGAAGGACGCAUCUCUUGUCAUCAAGGCCUCAGUCUGUACUGAUGAAGGCAGAUACGUUUGUUAACAAUUACACAACUGUGCGAUAAAUAUUGCACUGAUGGAAAUCAGGGGAUGCCUGGGGACAAAGGCCAAGGGCACGGCCCUCUGCUUGGUAGAGAGCCUGGCAAGGCACAGCUCCCAGAAAGGGUGACAUUUCAAUGAACUAUUGGUGGGGAGGGAUUUGUGUUUUUAUUUAUUUCUAGUAUUAACUGUUACUAUUACCAUUAUUUCAUUUUUAUUUACUUUUGGAAUAGCAAUACGUUCACAGUUUGACAAUUCAGUAAAGUAUGAGAGGAUUAUAGAAGUGCUAUCCAACAGAAACAUGUGAUUUAAAAUUUUUCUAGUGGCCACAUUUUUAAAAAGUAAAACAAAACAAAGGAAAUUGUGUAAUAGCAUACUUUAUUUAAUCCAAUAUAUAUAAAAUUAUCAGUCCAACAGCUAAUCAGAAAAAAAAAGAGAUAUUUUACAUUCUUUUUCAAACCAAGUCUUCACAUUGGUACAAAGUAUAUCUUACAUUUUUAAUACAUCACAAUUUGGAAAAACCACCUUUCAAGGGUCCAAGAACCACACGUGGUGAAGUAGCUAUGUAGUAAUAAGUUUCCCUCCCAUUUCCACCCUGAAGCUACUGAGUUCCCCUCCCUAGAUAAGCAGUCAUUGUUGGUAGCUUUAAGUGUGUUCUUCCACAGAUAGUUAAUAUAUGUCUACAAGCAAUUGUGAACAUAUAUGCACAAAUAAUAGGAUGAUAACCACACCAUUGUGCAUUCUAUUUUUUUUCAUUUAUUAAGUCUUGGAGAUGUUUCAUAUCAUUAUACAGGAAGCAAGCUCCAUCUUUAUUUUACUACUGCAGAAUAUUCUAUUGUACGGCUGUCACAGACUAUUCAGUUAAUCCUUAUCUAUGGGCAUAUAGGUGGUUGCCAGUAUGUGGUCACUAUUUGAGCUGAAUUUACCAAGAAGCAGAGUGCAAUAGGAGCUAACCCAGUAAGGAUGAGGGAAUGACAUUCUAGAGAAAGGGACCAGCAUGAAGGAGGGCAUGGGACACAAGGACACCUGGCAUUUGAGGAUAACGUCUUACAAUUCAAGAUGUCUGGAAAGUGGAGUGUAUAUGAACAGAAAAGAGAAGAAAGCUAGAAGGGCAGGAAGAGACCAGACUAUAAACAGCCACACAAGUGUCAUUUUAAGGAAUUUGGACCUCAUCCAUAAUGGAGAGUAAUCAAAAGAUUUUAAGAAGCAGGGAAGAAUUAAGAGAUGAUUGAAUUAAUAAAUAAAUGAGGAAAGAGGGACAAAUCUUCCCUACUGAUGAAUUCUGAUUAAUAGAUAUAGAAGGGAAACAGAAAAUCUCCACUUAAAGCACCACAGUAACAAUUGCUACAGGCAAGAUCAUCUGCUGAAUAUGCAAAUUAGUGGAUAAAACAUUGAGAAACAAGAUAUUUGCAUAGCCUCCAAGUACCUCCCCCAAAAUAUGUGUUAAUUAUUGUGAUGGUUUUAAUAUAUGUCCAAACAUUCUUUGAUACUCUCCCUCCAGGAAGGAGAGCUUAAUUCUACCAGGCUUACUCACGGCUAAUGAGUAGGGUAUGGAAAAAGAAAAACAGUAACUUCACAGUGGACCUGGCAGACACCACCUCAACCAAGUGAUCCAGAUUUACAUCACCAGUAGUGUUGAUAUCAGGUGCCCCUGCCAAAUGGGAUGAGAAGGGCACUGCCUCUGUGAUAUACUUCCCCCAAACCCAUAACCACAGUCUAAUUAUGAGAAGACAUCAGAUAAACCCAAAUUGAGGGACACUCUAACAAACACCUGACCAAUAUUCUUUGAGUGUCGAGGUCAAAGUUCCCUGGUGGCCUAGGGGUUGAGGAUCUGGCCACUACUGUGGCCAGAGUUUGAUCCCUGGCCUGGCAACUUUCACAUGCAACAGGCGCAGCCAGGAAAAAAAGUGUCAAGGUUACUAGAAAAAAAAAAA
ensembl:lncRNA